UGGGGAAUCUUGCGCAAUGGGCGAAAGCCUGACGCAGCGACGCCGCGUGUGGGAAGAAGGCCUUCGGGUUGUAAACCGCUUUCAGGAGGGACGAAGCCACUCGGGUGAACAGCCCAGAGGGUGACGGUACCUCCAGAAGAAGCCCCGGCUAACUACGUGCCAGCAGCCGCGGUAAUACGUAGGGGGCAAGCGUUGUCCGGAUUCAUUGGGCGUAAAGAGCGUGUAGGCGGCCAGGUAGGUCGGUUGUGAAAACUGGAGGCUCAACCUUCAGAGGUCGACCGAAACCAUCUGGCUAGAGUCCGGGAGAGGAGAGUGGAAUUCCUGGUGUAGCGGUGAAAUGCGCAGAUAUCAGGAAGAACACCCGUGGCGAAAGCGGCUCUCUGGAACGGUACUGACGCUGAGACGCGAAAGCGUGGGGAGCGAACAGG
rnacentral:rRNA from 1 species